UUAUUGCACAAAGCCCCCCUAUACUCAGAAAUACAAACACUCGAACAACAAGUUGGUUAGCCAGCACCGGCUAUUUGCUUUGACAGACACACCACAAUCAAUGAUGAAGUUGAUGAUGGCUGGCGAUGACGACGAUGUUUUUUUUCGAGUGUCUUGAACACGGCUCGCCUGCUGUUUGUAAUGGUUCGGUCUUGGCAACACCACAAUUAUAAACUUCUGCUGUUGUUGUGGCUGGCUUGCCUCCACCUUUUGUUUUAUUUAUUUAGCCUAGAGCUAGCUUUGUUUGUUGCAGCAAAUACUAACUAAAAAAGUAAAGCCUUUCGGUUCUUUUGUUGGCUAUUUUAGCAAUUCUUAGUGGACCCUAGGUAAGUUGCAGGGGUUGAAU